rnacentral:rRNA from 1 species
UACGUAGGGGGCAAGCGUUGUCCGGAUUUACUGGGCGUAAAGAGCGUGUAGGCGGUCAGGUAGGUCCGUUGUGAAAACUCGAGGCUCAACCUCGAGACGCCGAUGGAAACCAUCUGACUAGAGUCCGGAAGAGGAGAGUGGAAUUCCUGGUGUAGCGGUGAAAUGCGCAGAUAUCAGGAAGAACACCCGUGGCUAAGGCGGCUCUCUGGACCGUAACUGACGCUGAGACACGAAAGCGUGGGUAGCAAACAGG